rnacentral:rRNA from 1 species
AGAGUUUGAUCCUGGCUCAGGAUGAACGCUGGCGGCGUGCCUAAUACAUGCAAGUCGAGCGAGGCCCUUCGGGGCCUAGCGGCGGACGGGUGAGUAACACGUGGGUAACCUGCCUGUAAGACUGGGAUAACUUCGGGAAACCGAAGCUAAUACCGGAUAAUUUCGAGCAUCGCAUGAUGCUUGAUGGAAAGACGGCUUCGGCUGUCGCUUACAGAUGGACCCGCGUCGCAUUAGCUAGUUGGUGAGGUAACGGCUCACCAAGGCGACGAUGCGUAGCCGACCUGAGAGGGUGAUCGGCCACACUGGGACUGAGACACGGCCCAGACUCCUACGGGAGGCAGCAGUAGGGAAUCUUCGGCAAUGGGCGAAAGCCUGACCGAGCAACGCCGCGUGAGCGAUGAAGGCCUUCGGGUCGUAAAGCUCUGUUGUUAAGGAAGAACAAGUACGAGAGUAACUGCUCGUACCUUGACGGUACUUAACGAGAAAGCCACGGCUAACUACGUGCCAGCAGCCGCGGUAAUACGUAGGUGGCGAGCGUUAUCCGGAAUUAUUGGGCGUAAAGCGCGCGCAGGCGGUUUCUUAAGUCUGAUGUGAAAGCCCACGGCUCAACCGUGGAGGGUCAUUGGAAACUGGGAAACUUGAGUACAGAAGAGGAAAGCGGAAUUCCACGUAGCGGUGAAAUGCGUAGAGAUGUGGAGGAACACCAGUGGCGAAGGCGGCUUUCUGGUCUGUAACUGACGCUGAGGGCGAAAGCGUGGGGAGCAAACAGGAUUAGAUACCCUAGUAGUCC